rnacentral:rRNA from 1 species
UACAGGGGGGGGCAAGCGUUGUUCGGAAUUACUGGGCGUAAAGGGUUCGUAGGUGGCCACUUAAGUCAGACGUGAAAUCCCUCAGCUUAACUGGGGAACUGCGUCUGAUACUGAGUGGCUUGAGUGCAGGAGAGGGAUGCGGAAUUCCAGGUGUAGCGGUGAAAUGCGUAGAUAUCUGGAGGAACACCGGUGGCGAAGGCGGCAUCCUGGACCGGCAUUGACGCUGAGGCGCGAAAGCUAGGGGAGCAAACGGG